AUGAGCUUGUCGGCCAUUGGGAUUGUUAGUGCCAUUAAUGACUGCGUCACUUUGUUUCAGUGGGCCAAAUCUGCCAUUUCAUCUAUAAACUCUAAAUGGAGUGGCUCACAGGAGCAAAGUCUCCAGGACAGUGUAUUAAAGUUGGAGAGUGGCCUACAACUUCUCAAGGAUACCCUGCCUGCAAUGUAUGACCUCAUUAAUAAAGCAGAGUGGAGAAGCCAUGAACACUAUGUGGCCAAGCUCCUUCCGAGUCUCAAGGAUGCAGUGUCUGAGGCCGAUGACCUUAUUGAUGAGUUCAGAUGGUAUGAGAUGAAGUUGCAAGUGGAGGGCAAUGCAAGCCAAUCUCCUUUCAUUGACUUCUUGGAUACCAUCAUCCAAGGCAGCUUCAACAAACUGAAUGAUGUCCAAUUGAGGUUGAAUCAUCUUUCAAGUCAACUGGACAAUAUGGGGCUUCGUGGAGUUACACCACACUUUGACAAAUUAGUCAGGCCAGAGACCACUUCUAUGCCAAAUGAAGCAAAACUGUUUGGUCGUAACAAUGAGAUGAAGCAGGUAUUGGGACUUCUCAAGGUACCUACAAAUUUAAGACGCAGGCUCAUGGCUAUUUCAGAAAAUCCAUCAACAAGCGCAUCAGCAAGGAACCAAGUUAGUAAGUCAAGAAUAUUGAGUCUUCCUGUUUUGCCUAUAGUUGGAAUUGGUGGUGUUGGAAAGACUACUUUGGCCCAACAUAUCUGCAGUAACAAGCGAGUGGAGUCAUACUUUGAACCGAUAAUCUGGAUUUGUGUGUCAGAUGACUUCGAUGUGAAGAGGUUAACUAAAGAGGCCAUACAAUCUUGUACUGAAAAGGAGGUAACAAGUGAUAACUUGGAUUGUCUUCAGCGUGCUCUUUUUAAUCAUGUGAAAGAUAAAAGGUUAUUGGUAGUCCUUGAUGACAUCUGGGAUGAUGCCUUGAAGGAAAAUGGGCAAUGUUGGAAGAGGUUUUGUGCACCUUUUAGAAGUGUCCAAGAGGGAAGUGCGAUGUUGGUCACCACUAGAUGUUCAAAGGUUACUGAGGUAGUGCGCACACUGGAGCCCUUCAUAUUAGAAGGUCUAAAGGAUGACAUAUUCUGGAAUUUCUUUAAGUCUUGUGUGUUUGGAUCUCAGAGUUCUGAGAAUUAUCCUGAGUUAGAAUGCAUUGGUAGAAGAAUACUUCCUAAACUGAAGGGCUCUCCUUUGGCUGCCAAAACUCUGGGACGCAUGUUAAGCAUGGACCUUCAAGAAUCACAUUGGAAUUUUAUACUUGAGAGUGAAUUGUGGCAGUUAAAACAAAAGGAGACUGAGAUUUUGCCCGCCCUUCGGUUGAGCUAUAUGUACUUACCAUUUUAUUUGAAGCAAUGCUUCAGAUUCUGUGCUGUGUACCCUAAAGAUUACAUAUUCCAGAAGCAACACUUAGCUGAAAUUUGGGUAGCAGAAGGCUUUGUAGAGCCUCAAGGUGGUGUUCCAAUUCAAGAUAUUGGUUGUCAGUAUUUUGAAGACCUUGUAGCACGGUCCUUCUUUGGAAAAGUUAGUGGUGGAUACGUAAUCCAUGACUUGCUGCAUGACAUGGCACAACAAGUUUUAGAGCACGACUGCUUCAUCUUAAGAAACGAGAGUGACUUUGAUAAAGUUCCCCAGAAUGUCCGUCAUCUAUACGUACUCCCUAGCAGUGACUUUGACGAUUCCAGCUUGUUGAGACUAUGCAAGUACACAAAGCUGCGUACCCUAAUUUGCAAGAAGGAUUUAGAGGGAAAAACAAGCUUUAUAAUGGACCAAUGGUGUACUAAACUUUUGUGCAUGCGUGUGAUUUCUUGUCCCUUCACAAAUGAGUUUCCAGAUAGUAUCGGCAAUUGGAAGCAUCUUCGGUACCUUAAAAUCUACAGAUCUUGUCCUUUGAAGAGGAUUCCUUUAACUUUCUGUUGGCUAUAUUAUCUGACGUUUUUUUAUGUUGGGGAAUGCAUUCUAGAAAGCUUGCCCAAUGACUUCGGUAAGUUGGUCAAUUUACAGAGCUUCAGUUCACAUGGAUUUUCAUAUUAUGCUGGGCUGUGCAUGAGACUUGAUGCUGAGGCAGAGGGACGCGAAAUUAGGUUAAUGAAGAAUCUGAACCAAUUUCGUGGACACUUGGAGAUAUAUAAUGUUGGCAGCCUAAGUAAUGAUCAUACAGUAGAAGUUGAAUUGAAGAAUAAGAUGUAUCUUGACGAGUUGAAACUGAGGAUGCAUUCGUUUGUAGGCUCCCCUGAGUCUCAGUCCAUCCAUCAUAAAGAAGUGCUUGAAAUUCUGCAACCUCAUAUCAGUCUCAAGUCUCUGAUCCUUGAGAAUUAUCAUGGUGUCUCGCUCCCAAGCUGGUUUCAGCCACAAAACAUGCCAAGCUUGAAAUCACUCAGUUUUGUUGAUUGUUCUUCUGCCAUGAUCUCACAGAGCAUAAGCGUAAAUGGGACACCUGCAGUUGGUAUUUUCCUAUCCCUGGCAAACGUAACGAUAUCUGGGUGUUCAAAUAUGUUAGGCGUUCUGCAUCCAGACUAUGUACCAGCCAUCAAGAAAAUAAGAAUUGAAAGUUGCCAGAUGUUAGAAUCUCUACCAAUUGAAGAGUUUGGGGAACUUAAUUUCCUUGAAGAACUGGACGUGUGCAAUUGUCCAAAUAUCCGCCUCCAGAGAUUGUUUUUACCGUCCCUUAAGAAGCUACAACUGAGUAGUGCUGGUCUCCUUUGCAAUAUUGACUGUUGCUCUCUCACCAACUUUGUUUUCGGAUGUGAUUUUGUCACGUCCAUCCAACUACAAGUGUGGAAUCUCCCAGCUCUACAGAAGUUGCAAAUUCAGUCAAAAUCUCUUACAUCUAUUGGAGACAGUAUUACAUCAUUCUCGUCCCUUAAUGUCCUAUUAGUUGCACUUUGUGAUAGCUUGUCAACUCUUGAUGGCCUCCUAACACAAGAACUACCUGCUAUUCAGAAAAUUGACAUCUAUUCUUGUCCCAAAUUAGUGUCCCUGCCAGUUGAAAGGUUUGUGAGUUUUCCUUAUCUGAAACAUCUCAAGGUUUGGGAUUGCGAAAGUCUGAACUGGCAAAUGGGCUUGGUGCUGCCAUCGUCUCUCCAAAGUCUCAGCUUACAGAAAUGUGGGGAUACCUCUCCAUGUGUUCCCAGUUGCCUAGAGAACCUCACAUCCCUCGUCUCACUGCGCAUUAGUGGGUGCAAAAGUAUAACAUCCAUCCCAAGCAAUAUUUGGCGCACUACUCUUGCAUCACUCGAGGAAUUGAACAUUGAGGAUUUUCCAAACCUAGUUUCAAUUGGUGGAAGAAAGGCAAUUGGAAAAAUAAAGAAGGUGACUAUAUACAGUUGUCCAAAGUUGAAGGAAGUGAAGAUGAUCCGGGGAUGCUACGUAAGAUACAGGUGA
rnacentral:rRNA from 1 species